CACCACCACAGAGUGAGACUUCCUGGCAGACCUGCUUCCUUCUCCUAGAUCCACCAGUUCAUGACUGUCCAAUGUUUUCUUCUUGAUACAGGAGGGCCCAGGAAAAAGGGACAAAGACCUUGAUUUCCUUCUCAGGGGAUGCUGCCUCUUACCACUGGCUUGGAGAGGGUGGAGCUCCCACGACCCACGUUUGAACUGAGGCUCAAUUGGCAGACGCUGGGGAUUCGUAAGCUGGUAGUGGAGGCGCCAUCUUCCCCCAGAAAACGUCCUGUCCUGGAGACAAUUAAAACACUUGGGAGCUCUGAAGGGAAUAAAGCAUUUUAGCCUACCCUACGACAUAAGGGUCUUCUGGUGUUCCACAAAAAGUAUAAUGAUCUCCAGGAGCUUUCCUGAACAAUUUUGAGAGAUGGACAUUCAACUUACAAUAUAAGUGAAUAAGUCAUGGUUGUCUUUAUACAGCUAGAGCUUCAGAAUACUACUUGGUCAUUUGAUUGGUUUCAAGAUAUAUGCUAGUUCUAUCAGCAACAUACUUGCAAACCAUUUCCAACUUCAAAAAUGGUUAUUUGCCCUGCUGUUGUCACUGUGGUUGUGUUGCUUUACUAGGUUUAGUCUCAGAGGGUGACACUCGUAGCCAUGUCCACUUAUGGACUUGUUUGCCUAGCCAGUUACCACAAGACAGUGGAAAUACUAGGGGCCUAGGGUCCAGUUCUGUCCCUGUCCCUAACUUGCUGGGUCAUCUAGGACUAGUCAUUUGUCAUCUUCUUCCCCCAAACGUGCUGCUACUCUUCCAUUAAUGCCUCUGUGAAGGGCAUCUAUGGGAGGCUGAGUAAUGGCCCCCAAAGAUGGCCCUAAUCCCUAGAAACAGUAAGUGUUACUUUUCUUGGCAAAAGCAUCUUUGCAGAUGUGAUUAGGAUCUUUAGAUGGGGAGAGUAUCCUGGAUUAUCUGAGUGGGCCCUAAAUGCAAUUUUAAGGGUCCUUACAAGAUGGUGAAGGAGGGAGAUUUGUAUCAGAUACACAGAGAGAAGGCAAUGUGACGAUGGCACAGAGAGAGGUUUGAAGAUUCUGGCCUUCAAGACUGUAGUGAUACCACCACAAACCAUAGAGUGACAGUAGCCACCUCCAUACUUGUCCUUUCAGUUCAGCUCUCAGGCUGCCACCAGAGGGGUUUUUCUAAAAUGUUGAUCUGAUCGCAUGAUUCUGCAGUGAAAAUCUUUCAAUGGCACCUUACUGCCUGUAAGAUGAAACCCUAACUCCUCGGCCUGACCUGAGAGGCC